rnacentral:rRNA from 1 species
AGCAGCCGCGGUAAUUCCAGCUCCAAUAGCGUAUAUUAAAGUUGUUGCAGUUAAAAAGCUCGUAGUUGAAUUUCGGGGUCAGUAGAUUGGUCGUGCCACUGGUAUGUACUGGUCUUACUGGCUCCUCCUUCCUGAUGAACCGUAAUGCCAUUAAUUUGGUGUUGCGGGGAGACUGGACUGUUACUUUGAAAAAAUUAGAGUGUUUAAAGCAGGCUAACGCUUGAAUACAUUAGCAUGGAAUAAUGAAAUAGGACGUUCGAUCUUAUUUUGUUGGUUUCUAGGAUUGACGUAAUGAUUAAUAGGGAUAGUUGGGGGCAUUAGUAUUCAAUUGUCAGAGGUGAAAUUCUUGGAUUUAUUGAAGACUAACUACUGCGAAAGCAUUUGCCAAGGAUGUUUUCAUUAAUCAAGAACGAAAGUUAGGGGAUCGAAGACGAUCAGAUACCGUCGUAGUCUUAACCAUAAACUAUGCCGACUAGGGAUCGGAUGAUGUUAAUUUUUAAUGACUCAUUCGGCGCCGUUA